rnacentral:sRNA from 2 species
CCCCCUUGGGGAGUAGCCUGCUUCCAGUCGAUGGAAGCGCCCGCAUCAACAUACUCGGCCGUUGCGCCGUGGUGCGGGCAACCACUCUUGGUUUGGCGAGACCAGCGGCAUGCGUGCACAACGAUGGUUGGGCGCGGGCGCAUGCCGUUGUGAUCGUGCCCAACCCGAGGUU